rnacentral:rRNA from 1 species
GACGAACGCUGGCGGCGUGCCUAAUACAUGCAAGUCGACGGGCUUAUUCGAGUAGCUUGCUAUUUGGAUAAGUCAGCGGCGGACGGGUGAGUAACACGUGGGUAAUCUGCCUCGUAGUCUGGGAUAACAAGCCGAAAGGUUUGCUAAUACCGGAUGAGUUCAUGUUAUUGCAUAGUGACAUGAAGAAAGGGGAGACCCGCUAUGAGAUGAGCCCGCGUCCCAUUAGCUAGUUGGUGGGGUAAAGGCCUACCAAGGCGACGAUGGGUAGCCGGCCUGAGAGGGUGGACGGCCACACUGGGACUGAGACACGGCCCAGACUCCUACGGGGGGCAGCAGUAGGGAAUCUUCGGCAAUGGGCGGAAGCCUGACCGAGCGACGCCGCGUGAGGGACGAAGGCCUUCGGGUUGUAAACCUCUGUCUGGGGGGACGAGUAAGGACGGUACCCCCGGAGGAAGCCCCGGCUAACUACGUG